GAAUUUUGGACAAUGGGGGAAACCCUGAUCCAGCGACGCCGCGUGUGGGACGAAUGGGUUAUGCCCUGUAAACCACUGUCAGCAGAGAAGAAAAGGUUCCUUUGGAACCCGGGACUGUAUCUGCAGAGGAAGGACCGGCUAACUACGUGCCAGCAGCCGCGGUAAUACGUAGGGUCCAAGCGUUAUCCGGAAUUACUGGGUAUAAAGGGUGCGUAGGCGGUCUUGUGCGUCGAAGGUUAAAGGCCAUGGCUCAACCAUGGAAAUGCCCUCGAUACGGCAAGACUUGAGUAUGAGAGAGGAAGAUGGAAUUCCUGGUGUAGCAGUGAAAUGCGUAGAUAUCAGGAGGAACACCGGUGGCGAAGGCGGUCCUCUGGCUCAUUACUGACGCUGAGGCACGAAAGUGUGGGGAGCGAACGGGA
rnacentral:rRNA from 1 species